UGAAUACGAGACGCUAAGGCGUCGAAGUAGUGUAUGUCAUACUUCCAAGAAAAGCUUGCACUGUCAUAGAUAAAAAACGCCUGUACCAUAACCGACACAGGUGGGUAGGUAGAGUAUACUAAGGGGCGCGAGAUAACUCUCUCUAAGGAACUCGGCAAAAUAACUCCGUAACUUCGGGAGAAGGAGUGCCUUAUUCGUAAGGUUGCAAUAACAAGAUCCAAGCAACUGUUUAUCAAAAACACAGGUCUCCGCUAAGUCGUAAGACGAUGUAUGGGGGCUGACGCCUGCCCAGUGCCAGAAGGUUAAAGAAGUUGGUUAGCAAUUGCGAAGCUGAUAACUGAAGCCCUGGUGAACGGCGGCCGUAACAAUAACGGUCCUAAGGUAGCGAAAUUCCUUGUCGGGUAAGUUCCGACCCGCACGAAAGGCGUAAUGAUUUGGAUACUGUCUCGGAGAGGGGCUCGGUGAAAUAGACUUGUCUGUGAAGAUGCGGACUACCUGCACCAGGACAGAAAGACCCUAUGAAGCUUUACUGUAACUUGAAAUUGAAAUUGGACUUUAUUCGCGCAGUAUAGGUGGGAGGCGUUGAUUAUAAUCUUGUGGGAUUAUUGGAGCCAUCAGUGAGAUACCACUCUUGUAAUGUUAGAUUUCUAACUUUGAAUCAUUAUCUGGUCAAAGAACAGUUUCAGGCGGGCAGUUUGACUGGGGCGGUCGCCUCCUAAACGGUAACGGAGGCGUACAAAGGUUUCCUCUGAACGGUUAGAAAUCGUAUCUAGAGUGUAAAGGCAUAAGGAAGCUUGACUGUGAGACCUACAAGUCGAGCAGGGACGAAAGUCGGUCUUAGUGAUCUGACGGUACUGAGUGGAAAGGCCGUCACUCAACGGAUAAAAGUUACUCUAAGGAUAACAGGCUGAUCUCCCCCAAGAGUUCACAUCGACGGGGAGGUUUGGCACCUCGAUGUCGGCUCAUCGCAUCCUGGGGCGGUAGUACGUCCCAAGGGUUGGGCUGUUCGCCCAUGAAAGCGGUACGCGAGCUGGGUUCAGAACGUCGUGAGACAGUUCGGUCCAUAUCCGGUGUAGGCGUUAGAAUAUUGAGAGGAGCCUUCUUUAGUACGAGAGGACCGAGAAGGACAUACCUCUGGUGUACCAGUUAUCGUGCCAACGGUAAACGCUGGGUAGCUAUGUAUGGAGUGGAUAACCGCUGAAAGCAUCUAAGUGGGAAGCCCACCUCAAGAUAAGUAUUCUCAUCAG
rnacentral:rRNA from 1 species